AAAAUCUGAGUUUCACAGAGCUUAUGAACGUACUCAUAAAUAAUACCUUUUGAAAAUUAAAUACUAGUGGGAAAGCAUAAAGUAGUGUGAUAGUAUAAAAUGUAAGAAUAAUUAAAAACCGAGUUAGUCGUUGUGUAUAGUUGCUUUGAAUUUAUUAUAGAAAAUUAGAAUCUUAAGUUUUCGUCGUAAGAAAAAUGGGAUUAAAUGAAAUGGUUUUGUCUCGGCAGGUGUGGGACAUAAUAAAUAAUACAAGUCUGAAUAACAUUGUCGUUAUACCUACAGCGAUAAUAUUAUUUUUAGUAGUUCUUUAUUUUAAAAUUGUAAACUGGAGAUAUACAUCAUUGGCAAAACAAAUACCCGGUCCAAAUGGAUAUUUUUUUAUGGAUAUGUUACCUCUUUUACUUGGAGGAUCUGAAAAAAUUUUGAUGAAUACAUUCAACAUUUCCAGAAAAUACGAGUACACCUUACACAAAUAGUGGAUUUAAAAUCGCUUAGUCGUAUUUCUUAAUAAACCUGAAGAUGUAGAAGCGGUUCUCACUAAUCCUAAUCUGUUCCAAAAAGGAGAGGGGAGCACUAACGAUGGAGUUUUCGGCACAAACCAGCACUAUCGUAGCACAAUCCGAUGAUGUUUAAAGAAGUUCAAAUUUCCGAUGUGGGGGGCCAACUUAAUGGAGCCUGGUAUUAGGAGGUCAAGACACAACAGCUAUGACGAACGCAUGUAUAAUAUUUAUGUUGGCUCAUCAUCAGGAUGUACAAAAUAAAGUGUUGGAAGAGUUAUUGACAAUAUAUUCUUCUGGCGAUCCGGAUCGACAACCUACCUAUGAUGAUUUACAAAAGAUGGAAUACUUGGAACGUGUAAUCAAAGAAACUAUGCGACAUUUCCCCCCUCUUCCAUUACUUGCCAGAAACGUAGAAAAGGAAACAACGAUUGGAGGCUAUUUAAUCCCUGCAGGGUCAACGUUCGCAAUUUUCCCUGCUCUGUUACACUUAAAUGCGCAAAUCUAUCCCGAUCCGGAGAAAUUCAACCCGGACAACUUCUUGCCCGAAGCAUGUCGCAGUCGCCAUCCGUAUUCGUUUCUUCCUUUUAGUGCUGGUUACAGGAAUUGCCCCGGUAUCAAAUAUGCAAUGCUUCAAAUGAAAACAGUCAUCUCAACUCUGAUCCGGUCUUAUCGGUUUUAUCCGUCGGAUAAGUGUCCUAAACCAGAAAAUCUUCGUACAACGUUUUCAACAACACUAAAGUUUGUCGACGGGUGUUACGUUAAAAUAGAAGCGAGAACGUAAUAAGUUAUGGAAGCGGAUUUUAGAACAAAAAUUAUUUACAUAUUUAUAUUGUAUCAUUGAAUAUUUUGUAAUGAUAUUAGUUAGGGUUUUGUUAUUUUUUAGAUUUUAGGUAUUUAGGUUAUGGUUAUUAUUUUGGCUUACCAAUUUGUCGGUGUUGUCUCGUUUUACUAAAUAUUUUCUGUGUUUUCUUUUAAUUUAAAUAAC